GUGCUUGCUACGGCUGCACAUAUACUAAAAUUGGAACAAUAUAGAGAAGAUUACAAUGGUCCCUGAGCAAGCAUGACUCGCAAAUUCGUGAAGCAUUCCACAUUUAA
ensembl:snRNA U6 U6 spliceosomal RNA